CUUCAAUUCAAAAAUCUUAAGUCUGCCGAAUAGACAAGAUGCGAAUUUUCCUCAAUUACUCAAUUGCCACUAUUGUGGUUGUCAUUAUUUCUGUGUGCGUUGGUCAUGUUGAGAGUACUCCCAUGGCUAGGGAUAACGUAGACGAAAUUUCCAAUACGCUUCCUACUUUGGAUACCAAUUCGUCUAUACCGAUUGCUUGUGAAGGGACAAUACCAUGCGGCUGGGGAAUUUGCUUCUGCCGUACAGAUUGUCAAGUCUGUUGCACUAGUAAUGGCGUAAUUUCUUGCGGAUGUUUUAGGGAUGGACGAUGCUGGCGCGCUUGAAGGCUUUCUCAACAAUAUUCUCGCGAAAAAUGAAUUUAAUUAACAUUCAGGAUAAUUUGAAUUAAAGAGAAUUGAAAAAUGG